rnacentral:lncRNA from 1 species
CUUUGAGUUAAUUGUAUCCUAAGAGGUAACAUCAAGUCAAAGUUUGAUUUGGAAAAAUUUGAGGAGUUAAAAAUAGUGGGAGGUGAAAAAGAAGUUGAAAUUUCAAAAGUAAAAAAUGGAGUUAUGAAAGAUGGUUGGAUGUAUUGAGAAAAGUUUAAGGAUUGGAAAACUCCACUCAUGAUCUUAGUCUCAACCUUAAUUGUGGGAGUGGUAGGGAGCUUUAGUAACUCUUCCUCUUCUUCUUUUAUCUCAAUCUCUUCUUUUUCUCUCUUUUCUUUCUCAUUCCAUUCUUUUAUCUUUUUCUCUUCAUACUCUCUUUUUCUUUCCUCCUCCUUUUUCUCUCUUCUUACUUGCUCCUCUUUCUCUCUUUGUUCUUUCUCUCUUUUCUCAUGAUCCUCUUUCUGCCUUUGUUCUUUCUUCCUUCUUUUGUCUUCCACUCUUCUUCUCUUUAU